rnacentral:rRNA from 1 species
CCUACAGGAGUCAGCAGUGGGGAAUAUUGCACAAUGGGGGGAACCCUGAUGCAGCAACGCCGCGUGGGUGAAGAAGUACUUCGGUAUGUAAAGCCCUGUCAGCAGGGAAGAAAAUGACGGUACCUGACCAAGAAGCCCCGGCUAACUACGUGCCAGCAGCCGCGGUAAUACGUAGGGGGCAAGCGUUAUCCGGAUUUACUGGGUGUAAAGGGAGCGUAGACGGCAAGGCAAGUCUGGAGUGAAAGCCCGUGGCUCAACCACGGGACUGCUUUGGAAACUGUGUUGCUGGAGUGCAGGAGGGGUAAGCGGAAUUCCUAGUGUAGCGGUGAAAUGCGUAGAUAUUAGGAGGAACACCGGUGGCGAAGGCGGCUUACUGGACUGUAACUGACGUUGAGGCUCGAAGGCGUGGGGAGCAAACAGGAUUAGAUACCCCGGUAGUC